GACAGAGGGUGCAAACGUUGUUCGGAAUUACUGGGCGCAAAGCGCGUGUAGGCUGCCUCGAAAGUCGGAUGUGAAAGCCCUGGGCUCAACCUAGGAAGUGCAUUCGAAACUUCGAGGCUGGAGUCCUGGAGAGGAAGGCGGAAUUCUCGGUGUAGAGGUGAAAUUCGUAGAUAUCGAGAGGAACACCGGUGGCGAAGGCGGCCUUCUGGACAGUGACUGACGCUGAGACGCGAAAGCGUGGGGAUCAAACAGG
rnacentral:rRNA from 1 species